rnacentral:tRNA from 1 species
UCAAAGAAAUAUUAUUAAGAUUUGUUUCUUAAUAUAUAAAUAAAAAGAAAAAACUACUUUUAACAACAUAUAUUUAGUUUGUAAAGAUUAUUUGAAGAACUACAAAUAAUUUAUAGGUAAAUAUGGGGCCUAUAGCUCAGCUGGCUAGAGCGCUCGACUGAUAAUCGUGAGGUCUCAGGUUCAAGUCCUGAUAGGCCCACCAUCAUGGGGAAUUAGCUCAGCUGGGAGAGCGCCUGCUUUGCACGCAGGAGGUCAGCGGUUCGAUCCCGCUAUUCUCCACCAUAUACAUAUAAAUAAUAGAAAUUAGAUAUAAGCUUUUAUAUAUAAGAGUUUAUAUCUGGUUUUAAUCAGAAACGUUACCUUGAAUAAAUUAGUUAUUUAAAGUAGUAUGAUAUUUAAAAAUAUAAUGUUAAAGUCUUUAAAAUUUUUUCGUAAAGUUAAAUAGAAAUAUUUAAUUUUAAAUAAAAAAAUUUCAUAUCUAAAAUUUAAUAGAGAUAUUAAAAACUAUAGAUAACACAACUAACUUAUUAGAAUAUGUACUUGUAUAUAUGGUUUAAUAAGAUAGUAGCCAAAGAAUAUUAUCAAAUUUAGAGUAAUUUUAAUUAAUUACUCUAGGCAAGAAAAGAAAUCUAAAUUUAUUUAGAUUUUAUUAUAAGCUAUUAA